UGGAGUCGCCAUAUUUAAACUGGCUCACCUGCAAACAGUUGAUAAUGUAUGUAAAAAAAAAAAGUGGCAAACGGUGGUUAAUUUUGUAUAAAUAAGCUUAAAGAAAACCAACUAAAGCGCCGUGGCUGCUGGAGUAUUUUCUGCAAGGAAGGUUUGGUCAUUUGUUUCCUGUUGUAUCUGGUAGCUUUGCAUCGAUGCAAACAGACUGUGCUGUGGACAGCAAGGCUGUCAGUUUAUCACCAAAGAUUGUAACAACGCCAAGCUAUGACACAAUAACGUUUUAAUUUCUACUUCUCCAACCAUCAGCCUUCACUCCUUUCCUGAUAUUUAAAAUAUCCACAUUGGGACGCACAGAUAUGAAAUAUCAAGUAGUAGAAACACUUGCUUCUAAAACAUCAGAAAAGAUGCUUUCUUCUUCAAAUUGCUCUUCUUCUCAAGGACAUUCAGCCCUUGAUAUGGAUGAAUCUGGUUCUUCCACAUUGAAUUCAUCACAUUUUACAGAUGAAACUACAAGUGCAAGUGAUAUUAGAGUCGACAUCGGCAGGAAACAAGACAACAAUGACAAAGCUGGGACAGAGCAACCCUACACUUACCCCGAUAACCCAGAGAAUAUUGUAGAACUGGCCACCAAAAUCCUCCAACGGUUUGGGCUUGAUAAAGAAGAUUUGGAAAAUCUCCUCUCCUACCCUGAAGACCUGAUCACUGUAACAAAUCUGCCUGCCAUUUUGAGGCAUAUCUACAUUAUGAAGGUAAAGAAAACAAGUGAUAGUUCAAACUUUCCACGUGUCACAAGCACAACUGGAUUUGACCGUUUUAGUUGUUCAGAAGGUGAACAGAUUCACAGUGUCUAUCAAAAUGUUGUAUUUGAUGGCUUUUUGGAAGAAACCAGGAGCUCAGCAGAGGUAAAAAACUGGGGUUCACAUGAUCAGAAAAGCUCUUCCACUUGUUCUAGCUCAGUCAGGACCUUUGUGGACCAUCCACUGAAUAAUUUGAAUAACCUGCAGACCCAACCAAGACAGAGUUUACAAUCCAUUCCCUCCGUUUUUCCUCUGGUGACGCAAGAAACUGAUAGUAGUUCUGCCAACUCUGAAGGAUCUGAACCAAAGUCCAACUGGAGUUCAACACCUGAAUUGAGACAAAUUGAUGAAAUGAAGCAAUUUGUUUCAGUACCUGGAGACAGAGAACCUGGCCAAGCCAUUAAUGACAGCAUGUUCAAAAAUGACAGUAUAAUUCACAGAAAAGUUAUAAAUGUUGUUGAAAUAAAAAAGAAUCAAAAAUCAAACCAGGAGUACCAGAAAACCCGAAGUUACUCUGAUUUAAAUCCGGUUCCUCCUCCAUCCAUGAGGCCAACGUGUCCGCCUGAGGCAGCUUCUGCCCAGUGGCUGCUGCCGCCCCCAGGCAGGGCGUACCUACCUGAGCCGACUGGUUUUAACGGUCUGCCUCCAAAAGCCAUGAUGGAGGAUUACACUGCCGCCACACCGAGGGCGUUUCCACACACCUGUUCUCUCUGCAGCAUAGUGUGCGUUAAUAUUAAGGACUGGGUCACCCACCAGAACAUCAGCUCUCAUAUCAAGGCCUGCAUUCUCCUCCGCAAAACAUACCCGAAUUGGGAUUGUACAGCACCACUGUUUGAGAGUUUUCCUGAUAAAGACGCCUCCACCUCUGCUCAGACAUCCCAGCGUUACGAUCACAAAGUCGGGUCCAAGAGCCAGGCCAAGUCCAGGUCCAGGUCCAGAUCCAGAUCCAGGUCCAGAUCCAGAUCCAUCAGUCCAUACAGACUGGAGAAUAAAUGUUACAGAAUCAGGAGCAGCUCCCGCUCCCCAGGUCCUCAUUUUCACAAUGCUUUGAUGGAUAGAAGCAAACCAGAGGAGCAGGAGGAUCCAAACACUCACAGGAUCCCUCAGAGGCGAUCUCCAUCCGGGAGGAGCGAGAAGAAGAAGUCUUCAUUCAACCAGAAACGCAAGAAAUCGACAAGGUCAUCCAGUACACAGCAGAGGUCGAGCAGAGUACAGCAGCUGACCAAAAACGUCAUGAGAUCAUCAGCUGUCCAGUCGCUUACGGAGAUACCAAAACUUAAAACUGUGGUCAGAACUCUGGUUCCCAUCAUCUUGGCUGAACUCAGGAACCUGAAAUCAUCUUCUUCAUCCUCUUCUUCUCAUUCAGCCAAAAGGAAAUUGGAUUCAAAUUUUUCCAAAGUGAAAUCUGACCUUUGGAACAGUGAAGCUGGUUCUUCCAGAAAGCCUCAGGUUGACGCACCAAAAGUGAAAAGGAUGAAGAGCCUCGAUAUUGAAGGAACAUCAGUCACUGUGGUUAAACAAAAAGCGAAGCAAUUAUCUGUGAAACCAAAAGUCUGCAAGAGACGACCAACCAAACCUGCGUCCAGCACUGAUCCGGCUCUGCAUUCAACUAGAAAUAAUGCGUCUUUACCAAGAAGAAGAGCAAGAUUGACGACAAGACGCGCCUCAAAAUCAAAAGCUUUGGUUUCCAAAGCAAGAAUGAUCCGAAACUGGCUGUUUGUCAGAUCUCCAAAAGUAGGAGCUGUUAAAUUUAAGGUGAAAAAACAAGUUUCAAAGCUUCCAGGAUCUACAAAGUUGAUGUUUACAAAGAAGAAAGUGGCUGGUAGUGACUCCAAAAAAACACAAAAAGAGCUUAAAGAAUCUCCAAAGGGACUGGAAGAGAAGACACCAGAACCAGCUGAUCUGCCUCAGACUGAACUAGAUCUCCUCAAAGGUCCAAUGUCUUCAGUUGGUUCAUCAUCACAGAGUCGGAGUAAAACUCACACUUCCUCCUCAUGUCAGGGGGCUGACGCUUUGGAAACAGGAACUUCACCUGAUUUCAAGAAAUGGCAGAAAAAAAAGAGAAAAACAAAGAAAAAAGCAGCAUCUCAAAGUGAUCCGUGUGGAGGAACUCCAGCUACCACAACGAGUCCUGCAGCUGCCGUCCCGACCUUCACAGAGAACCUGGUGAAAUGUCUGAGUGAAAAACAAAUCGAUUGUUUAAGCAGGAAAACCAUUUUGUCUCCAAAGCUGGUUUUACUCGAUGCGAGGGUGCUGCUCCUAACAAACCUGCCCAGGUAUUUCGACGGCUGCUACAGAGAGGAUGAAGUUGCUGAUCUGCUGCGCCCGUUUGGCUUCAUCUUAAAGAGGAGCAACAUCUACGUUAUUCCUGAAAAGUGCAUGGCGUUUGCCCUGAUGCCGUCUGUGAAAACUGUCCAGGACAUCGUGGUUUAUUCCGACCAGAACCACAUCGUUUUCAAAGGAUCUAAACUAUCAGUCGGAGUUGUUCACAACAUGGUUUCCAUGACGCCAUUUGGCUUUUAUUCAUUUCUGAUCAAAAGGACCCAUUCUACACUGACUGACGAUGGAGGAAGUUUGAUCUUCAUCCACAACGUGUCCCAGAGCGAAGCCGGCGCUCUGAGGGAGAAACUGAUAAAAAUCGGCUGUGUGAGACGAUACCUGCCUCUUCUCAACAAGGUGUUUGUUGAAUUUAAAAACAGACGAGAGGCGGACAUAUUGGGAGUGUGGUACAGCCUGCUGAAGCGCUCUCCAGCUCAUCAAGUCUUCAGGAUGAAAAUACCUCAAAGCAAAACUCUUUCUCCACCUCCAAGAGUGCCAAACAGAGCUUUGCCAGACGGCAGCGAAGCCGUCAAUGACGCCGUCAUCCCAACUAUAAAACGUGGCGUUCCUCAGGGCAGCACUCCUCCGUUCUGGAUCACCAUGACAACCAACCCUUUAGUGUUUCCCACCUUCUGUCCCUGGUUCAACAUCCCAGAUUAUCUGACAGUCGGUCCGAUGAACGGUUUUAAGAAAACCAUCAGCCAGGCCUCAAAGUUCUCCACUGUCAUGCUGACGGGUUUGCCUGAGCGAAACUACACCCACCAGGACGUCGCUAAGCUGGUGUGGAAACAUUUCCCCAAAAAGAAUCUGCAGACUCUGUUCUACAACGUGGUGGUUCUGCCGCUGCAGAGGAGGGCCUUUGUGUUUUUCAGCAGGUGGGACGACUGCAGUGAUUUUCUCAUGAAUCACAUCGAUAAUCCAGUUUGUGUUAAAGGCUCCCUGCUCAGUGUUCACCUGGUGUUGGAGGACAUGCAGCCCGGAUUAAGAGAGGUGUCGAUGUACCGAUCUGUGAUGAAGUGGAGCAACGCUCACGUUUCCCGGCUCCAGCGUCUGGCGCAGCGGCUGCUCUGCGUGGAGAUCUCUGAACUGACAACUCGCCUUGUCAUGACGGUCAUGAAAGAAGUGGCGACCGUUGCUGCUUUCGUCAACUUCCUGCCGCUCGCUAACAGGAUUGUGAUUGAAAUGGCUGAACAAAGCGGCGUAACAGCAGCUCUUCUCCAAAUCUCACUGAAAUCCUCAGCAGAACACCAGAUAUGGAGCAAAGUUAAACGUAUUGAACCUGUAAAGAGUCUGUUUCGGCGUCUUCGAAAGUGUAAAGAGGUUGUGAUAAACCUGGACUCUGAUUCGUCGACGGAACCAGCUGCUACAUCAAAAUCCAAACCAGACAAGAGAAACCUUCGUUCAGAACCAGAGCAGAAUCUUCCACCAAAGAGGAGGAAGCUGGAGCUGAGUGACCAAUCCCAGAUUCUUAACAAUAAAACUGAAGACGAAACAACCCAGAUAAAACGUUUGGAAGACCUUCAGGUCCGCGUGAGUUCAACUGGAGAUCAGAGCAACACAGAGACUGAAGUCCAGAAACCAGGAAGUCCCUCCAGGCUUCUGUCUGAAGACGUCAAACUUCACCAAACGAUGGACUCAACGGAGGAUCAACCAGAAACUAACGAAGGAACCAGAACCAGCCCACCUAAAGAUGAAGAAAAGGUUCACGAGACGCAAGGGUUGAGUUUUCCUCAGCAAAGAGAAGCAGGAAACUUUUCCCAUCAGAAAGCGACUGAAGACGAUGAAGAGGAGGAAACAAACGAGGAGGAAAGUCCACCAAACGAAACGGGAAAGCUCCCCAAGUCGUCUUUGAAAGUUCUCAGGAAUUUGGAUGAAGUGAAAGAGGAAGACGAUGCGACGGAGGAAGAGUUGAGGGAAGAGAAUGAUGAGGGAGAUGAAGAGCGAGAGGAAAACUCAGCCGGUGAGUUUGUGGAGCCCAUCUUGGGUCUUUUCUGCUCCGUCUGUUCGGUUUUCUUCUUGGACGAGAACGCAGCCGAGGAUUCCCACUGCUGCAGCCUGUCUCACCUCAACAACCUGCAGAUUCACUACCAGAAAUCUUUACAUUGAUCUGAGGAACGAUGUGAAGUCAGAAAUCCAACCCUGGGAGUUUCCUGAAGGUUUCUGCUGGAGCUCCUGGUUGUCGUAGUGGGUUCUGCUGCAGCAGUGCAGGUCUUUAUCAGCGUCUUCACUGAGGUAGAAAACUGAGCAAAGGUUACAGAAAUACGCCAG